rnacentral:rRNA from 1 species
CAGAGGGUGCAAGCGUUAAUCGGAAUUACUGGGCGUAAAGCGCGCGUAGGUGGUUUGUUAAGUUGGAUGUGAAAUCCCCGGGCUCAACCUGGGAACUGCAUUCAAAAACUGACUGACUAGAGUAUGGUAGAGGGUGGUGGAAUUUCCUGUGUAGCGGUGAAAUGCGUAGAUAUAGGAAGGAACACCAGUGGCGAAGGCGACCACCUGGACUGAUACUGACACUGAGGUGCGAAAGCGUGGGGAGCAAACAGAAUUAGAUACCCUGGUAGUCCACGCCGUAAACGAUGUCAACUAGCCGUGGGGAGCCUUGAGCUCUUAGUGGCGCAGCUAACGCAUUAAGUUGACCGCCUGGGGAGUACGGCCGCAAGGUUA